rnacentral:rRNA from 1 species
UAGGGAAUUUUUCACAAUGAGCGAAAGCUUGAUGGAGCAAUGCCGCGUGAACGAUGAAGGUCUUUAAGAUUGUAAAGUUCUUUUAUUUGGGAAGAAUGACUUUAGCAGGUAAUGGCUAGAGUUUGACUGUACCAUUUUGAAUAAGUGACGACUAACUAUGUGCCAGCAGUCGCGGUAAUACAUAGGUCGCAAGCGUUAUCCGGAUUUAUUGGGCGUAAAGCAAGCGCAGGCGGAUUGAAAAGUCUGGUGUUAAAGGCAGCUGCUUAACAGUUGUAUGCAUUGGAAACUAUUAAUCUAGAGUGUGGUAGGGAGUUUUGGAAUUUCAUGUGGAGCGGUGAAAUGCGUAGAUAUAUGAAGGAACACCAGUGGCGAAGGCGAAAACUUAGGCCAUUACUGACGCUUAGGCCUGAAAGUGUGGGGAGCAAAUAGGAUUAGAUACCCUAGUAGUCCACACCGUAAACGAUAGAUACUAGCUGUCGGGGCGAUCCCCUCGGUAGUGAAGUUAACACAUUAAGUAUCUCGCCUGGGUAGUACAUUCGCAAGAAUG